AGCUGAAUACACUAUCUGCGUUGAACAUGGCCUAAGUUUUAUCCGGGUACAGGAAGAAGUUUCCCCUUGCUAGUAGUCAAUUCGCAUCGCACCGCACUGACCGCACACGGCAUUUCCCGCGGUUAUCGGGAUAAAAUCCUAUGUUACUCGGGAAUAGUGUAGCUUUCAACAGUGAAGUGAAAGUUGGGAACAGUGAAAUUGUUCCAUUUUAUUCUAUUAGUAUAAAUAAUAGGUACCUAAACGUGUAUAUAGUAGGGUAACCAGGUAACAUAAUUCUCCAUCUUUUGAACUCACACAGAACACUGCCCCGGGCCAAGCGACGACAUUUUUGGCUGUACCUACCAUUCUAAUCUGUGCUGUUUGUUGAUAUAAUCUGUUAUGUCAAUCGGCAGCGUUGCCAGACCGUACCAAAAAGUACGGUUUUCCGUACUAUUCAUCACACAACCGUACCACAACCGUACCUCAGUGUAGACCGUACCUUUUUCGUACCUUUUCUAUAUUAGUGAUUUAUUUUUUACUGCAAACUACAAAGGGUAAAAAAAAAAUCGCCUUCUCCUGUUUUGUCAACAUUAUGAAUUUGCGUUUAAAAAACUUUUUUCUUCCAUCCAAAUAAGACUUGGCUGUUUGGAUUACAUUCCUUGCCUUCCUUCCUCAGGAGCGAUGAAUUAAAAAAAAAAACAGAGCAAACAGAAUAUAGUCUGCGGGACUAUCGCCGUUCGCCGAUGUCUAUAGUCAGUCUGGAACCGAGAUCGAACUAAAGAUAACUCAUUCUCACAAGUAUGUACGACGUGUGACGAAACAAUACGAAUCUAUAGACGGAAGAAAAGUUAAGUCAAGGUGUUGGGAAAUGGACAGAUUUAUAACGAAGCGAAAACGUGACCCUCCUGAUAAUAAUAGCUCUCAAAAUAGUAACCAGCCUACUAAACCUGGUCAUUCAACUAAGAAGAAAUGUUUAAGUCCUAGUAUCCCUGGCCCUUCAUGUACUGAUGCACUAAUAAUAAUAAAACCUACCCAGCCACAAGAAUCAAAUCCUUCCAACGACUUCAGUUUGCUAGACGAAUCAAAUCUAUCUAACAAAAAAAAACCACAAGCCUUACUUGAUACUUGUAACGAAAAUGAAGAAAUCCAGAUAGCAACAAGUAAUGAAGAGCAUAAAAAAAAUAUUCCAACCAAAUCUAAAAAAGCAUCGGAUAAGACUGAAAAACAUUUAUAUGUUUUUAGCGAGAAAUGGUUAGAAAUUAAAGAACUUUCAGAGUGGCUAGUUUCAGACACAGUUAAAGGCACAAUCAGUGCAAAAUGCAAAUACUGUCAAACUACGUUACCCAACCACAAGCCGCACUUGAUACGACACUCUGAAACUGAUAAACACAAAUCAAUAAUGAAAGCCAUUAAAUCCACAUCAAAUAUUAAAGAAUCAUUAAAACCAUCAGAUGAAGAUCUCUCAGUAAAAAGAGGUGAGCUUAAAAUUGCUGCAAUGCUGGCUACAAAUAAUUUACCAUUCCUCUUAUCAGACACUCUAGUUAGCUUAAUAGCGGACAUUUGCCCCGAUUCGAAAAUUGCUCAGAAGAUGAAGAUGGGUCGUACGAAAGCAACAGCAGUUGUAACACAAAUUUUAGGGCCCAGUCUUCAAAGUACUUUGCAUGAUUAUUUAAAACAACCCGGUAAUUUCUUUUGCCUAAUAAUGGACGAAACAACUGAUGUUGGCACAAAAAAACAAUGUGCGAUGACAGUGAUAUAUUGUGACAAAGAAUUUAAAAUAAAAACAGAAUUCUUCGAUUUGCUGGAAAUGGCCUCAGGUACGGCUGAUGACUUGUAUAACGCAUUAAUACAGAGCGUUGAAACUAAAAAUAUCCCACUAGAAAACUUAGUGGGAUUUUCUUCAGACACGACGAACGUGAUGGUCGGCGAAUAUAAUUCUGUGUUCGCCAAAUUGAAAGAAAGACUUCCUAACAUAGUGUGUGUCCGCUGCUCUUGCCAUAUGAUUCAUUUGGCUGCCUCCAAAGCUUGUCUACAACUGCCAAAAUCAGUAGAAGAUAUGUUACGGAACAUUGGCUCCCAUUUCAGCCGCAGCCACAACCGACAACAGAAGCUUGCAGAAAUGCAACGCUUCUACCAAACACAAAUUCAUCAGAUUCUUUUGCCGGCAACAACCCGGUGGCUUUCUUUAAAGGCAUGUGUCGACCGAACGCUGGAACAGUAUCCUGCACUGGAAGCCUAUUUCAGACUUGAAAUAGUGGAAGAUCCGUCCAGAAUAACUGAAAGUAUCAUUUUCAGUUUGCGUAACCAGUUUACAAAAUUUUAUCUCGAGUUCAUGGCAUAUGUGCUAGACCUGCUAAAUGACUUCAAUAUUACUUUUCAGUCUGAAUCGCCAUUACUUCAUAAACUGAAACCUGCCGUAGAAGGGCUCAUCCGCACAAUUGCAAGUAACUUCAUUGAUUUACAUCACGUCAAAAACACGCCUCCUCUAGAGAUCGAACAUAAAAACCCAAGGUUGUACUUGCCUUUGGAAAAUUUGUACCUUGGUGUUUCUGUGGACUCAAGCCUCAAGGAGGUUCAAAAUGAUGUUAGAAAAGAGGACCUGGAAAGAUUCAAACUAGAUUGCCUGGCAUUUUAUGUUGAAGUAAUAGAACAAAUAAAACAAAGAUUUAUAUUUACAGACCCAAUAUAUGACAUAAUCCAAAUAGUCGAACCAAAAAUUAUAAAAUCGUUUGAUCCACAAAUGAUAACUUCAAUUUUAAACAGAUUUCCUUUUUUAGCCCCCACAUAUCUGAAUAAAAGUGCAUUAAUAAACGAAUGGCGGGAGUACUGUUUAUUAGAUCUGGCAAGUGUGGACGACAGUAUAUCGAUUCAAAUGAAUGCUGCUGAUUUUUGGACAAAAGUAUUUAAAUUAAAGGACAUAGCUGGUACAGAAAAAUUCAAAAAUUUGAAAAUCCUGAUAGGAUUUCUAUUAAUUCUGCCUUUUUCUAAUGCCUCAGUGGAAAGAGUAUUUAGCAAACUAAAGCUGAUAAAGACUGAACAUCGGAAUCGUCUCAAUACCGAAACUAUUGCUGCAUUAAUGGCUAUUAGUUCAUCUAUACAGCAACAAGGUGGUAUACACAAUUUUGAACCCAGCUCUUCUAUGUUAAAUAAGAAGAUAAAGUACUAAAAUUAAUUUGAUUCAGUAGUGACGGAUUUCGCUGAUAAAGUAAACACCUAAAUACAACAUCAAAUUACCUUUUUUGUAAAUUUUGAAAACUAAUGAUUUCGAGAUGAAUAAAUAUUUAUCUGUAGAGAAAUAUUACUAAUUUUGUAGAUUGAAAUGAAAACUAUUAACUUGCAUUGAGCAUGGGUGCAGGCUAAGUAUUAAGUAUUUUGGAAUGAAGCAAAGCAUAUCUACAAACGGAAUGACACAUAUCCAAACUAUUGGAGCUUCAAGCAUGUAUUAGCAAGUUAUUUAUUUAUAAACUCGUGAAGUAUCCCGACCUAACCGUACCUUGAAGUUAAAAACCGUACCUUUUUAGAAAGCCAACCAUCCUUUUUUGGGAAAUCAUACUGGCAACACUGUCAAUCGGGGUUUCCAUUUGCGUAGUUUACAAACGUUCGAACAGGUAAAUCAAAAGAUAUAUUUAGAAUCGCGUUAGUAGAUAUGAAACUUCUGAAUUUGCCGACCUAAGAAAAGGCACAUAAAAACGGAAAUUAUCUAUUUAGGUACCUACAUAUGUAGACCAGUGUUUUAAAAGUGAUAACAUAGAAAGACGAUACUGUGAAUAAUAAUCAUUUUCCUCAUCAUAAUGAGUAAGAUAGCAACAUACGUAUUUUUUGACCUGCAGACAACCGGACUUCCACGUACUUGGCAUGGCGAAGUCCGAAUUAUACAAUUAUGCAUGUUAGCUGUGAAGAGAUUACAGUUAACAGAUUUAAGCCAUUCAGCUGAAAAGCCACAAAUUCAGUUCAAAUUCAAAAUGUACUUCGACCCUCAGAAGGACUUACAUCCAAUGAGUUCUGUGCUCACAAAACUAAGUAAAGAUCUUUUGAAAGAUGAACCAGAAUUUAAUACAGAUGUAAUUGACGCCAUGAACAGUUUCCUCAGUUGCCUGGAGAAACCUGUGUGUUUGAUUGGCCAUAAUGCCUUCAUAUUCCACUUCCCUUUACUCCAAUACCACAUUAAUAAACUGAAGGUUUCAUUAUUGGGUAGACAUCAUGUGUUCAGACAGUAUAUACACCUUUUAUGAUAUAUUGGAGCCAGAAAGAUAUAAUUGGCCAAAAGAAAUUGAUGGUAGAACUGCUGAUGAUGAAUCUGAAAGCUCUGAAGACGAUGAACUGCUGGAUAGAGAUGGGCAUCUUAACAAAUUAAUCAAACGUACAAAGUAUUAUAAAGUUGGUAAAAAAAAGUUUAAGAAACUACGGCGGUCAAAAUUUUACGGUUUACCAAGGUUUAAACCUCAUGCAUCAUACAAAUUAAAAGAUAUCUACCGUCGAAUUGAUGGUGGUCAUCUUAAGAAUAACGAAUCAGAAGAUCAAUGUAUGAUGAUUAUGAAAAUAGCACUAGCAAGAAUUGAUGAAUUUAUAGAUUGGGUGGACAGAAACCACAGCCCCUUUUCCCAGGUACCGAUUAUUAAAAUGUUUGAUUAGAUUUAAAUGCCUACAAUGUUUUAGUUCUUAGUUUGUAAGUAUUUCACUAAAGGUAUGGAAUACCAUAUUUUCUUACUUAGAU
rnacentral:misc_RNA from 1 species